GUCGUGUGGUCCAGUGGUUAGAGCAUUGGACUCAUAAUCGCAAGGUCGUGAGUUCGAAUCCCAACUCUGCCAUUGUCUCCACUUUGAUAAAAAGGCCCAAGAGUGAUAUCUGUCGUCUAUUACGUCAGCCACUAUGACUGAUUAACCUAGACGUAAAAUGUUUCCAAAGUAAUUGGUUAUAUACCAGCUUGGCGUUUACCAGCAAAAAAUGCUGUCCUGCCGAGUUCCUACGGGAGUUACCACAAACAGAGAGUCAGGUUUCUAAACAACUAUCUGAACUACGUACUGAGGGAGAGAAACAGGAGUCAAGGUUAUUUGAUCUUGAGGUCAAAGUCGAACGAUACACCCAUGAUAUGAACGACAUGAAAUCCUUGAUAGAAACCCAGAAAUCAAGUAUCAAGAAGCUACAACAUGCCCAGGAACAAUAUUCUCGCAGAAAUUGCCUUCGGUUCUUUGGCUUUCAUGAGUCUCCCCAAGAAGAUACAGAUGACAUCAUCAUGAAGCUCGCUUCUGAAGUUCUUGGAGUUCAGCUGGCGAGGAACGACAUCGAGAGGAGCCACAGGAUUACUUCAAGAACUAAAUCAUUAAGAUCUGGAGUGGCUGAAAGCACAGAAAGAUCCCAUCCUCCACGACAGAUAAUUGCCAAGUUUGCCUCGUACAGGACCCGCCAGAUGAUUCUUAGGCAACGUCGGAAGCUCGCUGGAAAGGGGCAGUCGAUUCAGGAAGAUCUGACUGCUCAAAAUGCACAACUUCUCCAUGCUGCUAAGACAUCUAAGGUAGUGGAAACUGCUUGGUCAGUGGAUGGACGAAUCUUUGUACUUGUGUCAAAUGGUACCACCAAAAAGAAACAUCUAAUAAAGAACAAAACUGAACUUGAGCAGCUCAUUGAACUCAACGCACACUUAUCCAGGCUUACUUGAAACAAACUUUGCCUGCAUUGACUCACCUCUAAAGCUUACUACACUGUUUUUACUGUUGAAGUCUAAAACUGUUAUUGAUUUGUUGUACUUUGAUUGUUAAGUUUUUUUUGUUUGUUUUUUACACUCUCUGCAGCUCCCCACCCUCCCCCGAUUUCAAUUUUUUUUCUCUCUGUCUAUAGAGUAUUUCUUUCCCAUGUAUUUGAUUGUAUUUGUAUUCCUUGUUAUUGAACGCUUUUUAUGAUUAGUAAUUUAUUCACCUGCAGUAACUGUUCCAAACCUCAAUCUCAUCAUGAAAAUGCAUUUUGUGAUUCCUGCAAUACUAUAUUAUUCCCUUUUAACCAUUAUGUAAGCAAUGAAGAAUUUGUUUUCUCAAUUUUUACUUUCUUUCAUUUAGAUAAGUCUAUCGAUGAGGACAAUUUUCAUGCCUUGGCUAUUAAUCCUUUUACUUUGAAUGAAUCUGAGAAUGACUAUAAUGUAUUUUAAAGACGACUCGGCGAUUUAAAAUGAUUUAUUAGUCGGUGAACAAUGCCAGGUCAUGAAGGUAUUUGUAAUUUGGAAUGGCGCGGUUGACGAGGUGAUACGUCACAAUGGCGCGCCAGCCUGUUUGGUUUAUGCCCACAAUGACAAUAAUUUGUACUGGGCGCAAGGAGCGCGCAUGUUUUGGCGCGCGCGCCUAGGUGUGAAGGCGCGAAAAAUCCUUCAUUUUAGUCUUGGCUUUCAACGGAGAUGAACGUCCAAAAUAUUCGCUUGUAAUUUUUCUUACGACCUUGCAUUUUUGAAGACGUCGUAAUCUACAAAGAGCAACGAAAUCUACAAGAAUUUUUUGUUGAAACCAUCAUCGAUCGGGACUCACAACAAUUUCGCUUAUGAAGCUGAAAAUGCAGUCCGAAUUACUUGAUGAUACUCUAUUUCUUGCCUGGCCUAACAUUAACAACAACUCGUCUGCUUUGACUUUGAACCAAGUUUAAUACGACGGGGAGCGACUGUAUCGAUUACAGCAGUCAGCAGAUCGGCUGGGCCCUAACUUUUGAGCUGUUUGGUUUCAGCAACGAUGGGACGAAUGAUGAGAAUGUGACUCAAGCUGCUAGGUGGAAUUCAGUUCAUUCGGCUUUUCAUAAGCCUGGAAUUUUUAUUGAGUCUGAGAGUCUUGUCGUUAACGUGCAGGAUUUGGGACUGGCAACAGCCAACCCAGCCAACAAAACAUUUGAGCACGGACCCUGGCACAAGGUUAGAGACUAGGCCUAAGUUAGGCCUACAUUGGCAACAAAAUCAUGCAUAAGUUAGACAUUGUCGGCGACGCCAUGAUACAGUAGACUAUGAUUCAUCAUGAUCACCCAAUGAUAUGACUAUGACUAUGAGUAUUUAAUGUUUGUCGGAAGUCAGAGGUCCUACUCCUGAGUCCGAGCUCUCGAGUCUGCUUGUGGGAGGUGAGGCGACGGUCUGGAUUGGCAGACGGAACGGGGAACGGGGUACUCGUGGUCGGUACCACUACCAGAGAAUUCACAAGUUUCAGUCUCUACAAGACCUAGCCUAUCCGGUGAGUACGAAGCAGGAAUAGAUCUAGGCUAGACUCAGUCUAGAUUUAGGUCUACGGUUUAGUGUCAAAUAGUAUCCUAGGCCUAGGCCUAGUAGGUCUACGUUAGGCCUAACGUUAAGCCUAGUAUACUGUAGUGCUAACUUAGAGUAGAAGUUAGGCUUAAAUGAAUCGUAGAAGAGGCCUGCUUUGUAACGAGCAGGUAGGCCUGUCUAGGCCUGGCUUUAGAUUUCGAACAAAAUCAUGUUCUUAUUGGUCAGGAGUUAAUAGGCUCUGAGUCCUUUUCAUUUCAAUUUCAUGGCCCGUCAACCCCCCCCCCCCCCCGGUUUUCACGUUAGAACGCGAAGAUCCUAUUACCAACCAUAGGCCAGGCAUAAGACUAGUUAAGGUAGUCAGGCAAACAUGGUUCGAUGGGGGGGGGGGGCUAUUUGGCUUGUCAACACAAUGUUUAGAUUUGAAUGUAGGUCAUAUGUCAAGCCAUAAUAAGACAUAGCUUGGACUUGGCCUGGAAUUAAUUUUAAUUUGGUCCAAGCGGUUUAUACGAUCAUGAUGGAAAAGGGAGGGGUUGUCGUCAUAAUUCAAACACGGGCCUAGCUAGGCCUGUUCCUACUUGACGACUUGUUUUAGUGUCUGAACUAGGUCACUAGGUGUGUCAUGGUGAUUUUUAAAAAGAGUUCAACAAUUUUAUUAACGUUAAUUACCGUAUCGUAUUAGGUGUAGGCCCUAGUUCAUGGCUGUGGUUAAUAUGGAUGUAAAUACAUUUUCACAGCCGGUGGUUUGGAAAUUGGGGUUAGUCUCCUCAGUAUAUGACUACAUUGAGGUUCUAAAGCUUCGGCCAGAAUCGAUGUAUAUUUUCGAUGGAAAAUCAAAGAAAAAUGAAGUCUAUAGAGGCCGAUAUGAAAUUGGUUCUAGCAGCCAUUAUUUACAGCUUAUUCUAGGCCUAGUGAUGGGCUAGGCUAAGAUGUAUUUAAGACCAUGAUUAAUUUUAAGCCGCCGUUUUUGGCAAAAAUGGUGAGAAUAGCAGAGGGUCUACUAGUGAUUGGCAAAAAGUUCGAACUUUUUCGGUGCUGAUAAAUAACUGAGUGAGAAAUGUCACUUUGUCUUUGUUAUAAAUUUACAAGUAGUCUACUACUAGUACAGGUACUCGGACUACAAUUUAAUGGUGACACCACAGAGGAAAUUAGGCUAAGUCCAACGUUAGAUCUACUAACAGUAGACGCGGUUUUACAUGUCUGUUUUGGGGAUAAAUCAGCUGGUUCAGUUAGGCCUAUAAAAGUAGUAUUUGACCUCUGUGACUUUUUCUGGAUAUGGGCCAGCAUGAGCUGUGUUCUCGGUCUAAAAAUUAUGUGGAUAGACCGGUGGUGGAAGAGCUUAUACUAGAUAUGUAUACGUCUACUCAGUUUUUAAAUGAACAUCUACAGACUGCGACGGGCAUGAUAUUAUUGUUGAAUCAGUCACUUGAAAAGUAGCGGAUGUGGCUUAGCAUUAUGACAUGCGAUUGUAUGGAUUUCUUACAGUCUUUUAAAGGAAAAUAACUAGAGUUUAAAGUAUUGAAAAUAAUACUAUUUAUUGCUGAUGUUGAUGAUACAGUGUGAUAAUGAUUAUACAUUAAAUAUAAAUACCUCCACCUUGCACCAAGCAGUUCUGUUUAUACAUUUACGCCUUGAAACGGGUUGGUUUUUGGAAUUCACUUUGCAUGAAUUGAAUGCCGAUGCUUGGUGGAAAUGUGAGCUUCACAUUUCGAGGAAACAUGGUACACGUAAAAGUGGACUUACCAUGCACAUAAUAGUCGGAUGUAAUUUCAAACUAGCUUGGAAUCCCCAAAUUAGUUUAGAUUGAAGUCAAGUGGUCAACGAGCAGUUUGUUAUAAUAUUAUAGGCCUCCCAAUAAGAAACCUUUAUGUAAUAGGAGUCGUUUAUGUGCGAUGAUUUUGUGUGGAUUUUAUUUUGUGUAAAAAAAAAAAAGUAGAAAUGCUUAGGCCCUAUUGGAAUUGAAUUUAAUUACUGGUUGUUAUAUAGCGCUUUAUAUCAACCUCGAAGUCGAACUGCUCAAAGCGCUUCACAAUUGAACCUAGUUGCACCUCAUGGUUCAAGGUAUUUAUCAAAUAGGCCUAUUUGGCUGGUCAAUGAUUUGAACUGAGAUAAUAUCAUUUUAAAAAGAAUGAUAAUUAUGUAAUUAUGUAAAUGGGCAUGUGUGGGAAAGUCUGAAAUCUUGUAGAUGCACCAUGCUGUCACCCCCCCCCCCCUUUGCUUUCGGGGGACACAAUACGGAUGCCUUUAAUGCAAUGAGCCAUGUAGGUAAACUGGCCAAUCAAACGAAAUUUACCGAUUGCACAAUCAGGAACCAGGUUACAAAAGUACAUCUUCUUUUUUGGAAUUGUACAGCGUGUGAAAUAUUUUGUUGGUGGCCCGUUGAGUAUGAAAAUGUUUCCAAUGGGCUGGAUGCAAUAAUUUGGCUCGAUUAUUUCUGCAGUGAUAUGAGAGCCGGCUCUUUGGAUAAAAUGGAUUCAAGCUGACUACUGCGAGGCAAGGUAGGCUGGCAGGAAAGUUUGAUGACAAUCGGACCUACUAUAGUAUAACCUAGAACGCUCCAAGUCUGGCUGCCAAAGAGUUUCCCUUUGGUUGGAUCUAGUUCCUGACCAGAUAGCCUAGAGUCCAUGGUAAUGGAUGUCAAUUGUGGCGUUAAUACGCUCUUGUAAUAAAUAGAAAUGAACUGGGUAUAGCCUGAGAACUAUGCUGCCGGAAAUUACCCUAAUUGGAGCAGUGGUCAACGUCUUCAUCUUCAUAUUAAUAAUUUACCGACAGGUGUGGAUUUAUAAUACGUAGUCCAAGGAAUAGAGGUUUUCUUCAGUAAAAAAAACUGGUGAACAAACAUCUUAGCCUUCAAGGAACAGUAUUGCAGCAGGGAAAACAAUUUCAUGUUUGAAACAUCAUGAUACAGUGGGCUAUCUUGAAUAAUGAGUCCAUGAUAUGAGGAUGAGUUCAUUAUGAUUUCAUUUUCAGACUUUUUAUGAGGUCCUCCAUAUUGUUCACUUGGAAGGGAUUGGAACUUGAACAUAUGAAGAAAGCCCUUUGCCUCUUUGUGCUUUUGCCAACAAGAAUGUAACAUAUUGUUCAGGACAAAUAUAUAUAUAUGUGCAUGUAUAAAUGUAUAAGGCACUUCAAUUUUAUUCAUUAUCCUUUGAAGGACUACUCGUCGGAUGUUAUUUUAAUUUUGAAAUAAACAAUUAUUUCAUGGAUGUGGUGAAGAUGAUAAGACAAAAAGUCAGUCAUGUUUUACGUCGAUAUGUGAAUACAUAAUCGAAAAAUGAAACAUCCCCGGUAAAAUUCCAGUUUAUGUUCACUGGUUCUUAGUUUAGCUGCAUGAGGGGUGUAGCUCUAUAAACGGAGUAGUUCUGACGGGAAGGGUUCAUGUUCAAAUUGGUUUUAGUGCCUUCAAUUAUCAUGGUUAUACUCUAUUGGUUAUAUGGGGUUAUUCUGUGGAUGUUACUCUAGUUUUCAGUUUCAGUUUUUAUUUUAUCUCAUUUCCAACAGAACAGUUUUCAAAAUCCAUUAUAACUCAGGAAUGGUAUGAUGUCUGUUUGUUGGCAUUAAGAGUGAGGUGACUAACUAAAUGCUGUGGUUGGAUUUUAAUUGAUCGAUUGUCCACAAUUGAAUCAUAUGGGUGCAUGGAGUUAAGUCAUGCACUGUUAUAAUUAUAUGGCAAAUGGGACAACAAGAAAGUGGCAGUACCUCAGUGCGGCAUGCAUUGUUGGUUUAGCUAUGUUGGGAUGCUAGUACGUGUUAACUAUAUGGUCAAACUGAUGGCUUUCGGCCAUCUAAUUGGUUUUAGUGCCUUCAGUUAUCAUGGUUAUACCCCAUUGGUUAUAUGGGGUUGUUCUGUGGAUGUUACUCAAGUUUUCAGUUUCAGAUUUUAUCUUAUCUCAGUUCCAACAGAACAGUACCGGUAUAUCAAAUCAAAAAUAAAUACUAAUAAUGAAAAAAUGAAUAAAAUAAAGUAUGGUAUGUACCGUAUUUGUUGGAAUUAAGUGUGAAGUGACUAGCUAAAUGCCGUGUUUGGUUUUUAUCGAUCGAUUGUCCACAAUUGAAUUAUUUGUGUGCAUAGGGUUAGAUUAUGCACUGUUAUACAUGUAUGGCAAAUGGGACAACAAGACAGAGGCAGUACCUCAGUGCGGCAUGCAUUGCUAGUUUAGCAAUGUUGGGAUGCCAGUAUUUGUUAAUUAUAUGGUCAAGCUGAAGGCGUUCAGCCACCAUUGAUAACUUAUCAAAAUUGGUGAUGCAAUGAAUUUCAAUUUUGAAGAUUGCAAUAGAUUUGUAUCAAAAUCAUGAUACUUCAAAUGGCAUAUUAUCUUGUCUUCCUUCAUAUGUUUUGUUUAGUUUUGCGCAUGGUAAUCAGAUUUUAAUUGUGAAUGAAGUUCUGACACGGUUAUGUUUUAAUGUAUUUCUAUUGGGAGAUUUUUCCAACAGCUGAAUACAUUGAAGUGUUUUUCAUGCUCUCAUUAUACUUGAGAUGGAUAUUUGUUCAUAUACUUGAAUUGGAUUUUUCUAUCUGGUUUUGGAAUGCAAUAAGUGAAAUAUUCAGGUGCAAAGUAUUUGUCAUUUCAUGCUGGUUUAAAACGGGCUGGUAUGUUGGUCAAGAAUAGAAAACAGGUAUACUGCGUAUAAAAUGAUCACUCUUAUAUCAGCCAGAAUAGCUAGAGGCAAAGAAUGCCAGCCUUCAGGUAACUGUGUCAUGUAAGACAGCGACGUCAAGGCUGUACAAAGAUUUUAUACAAAGAUGAUAUAUUUUAAAUUCAUUUAAAAUUAUUGGAGGGCUUGGAGGCCUACUUGACUACAUAUGCAUGAUAACUGAUUUAGCUUGGCCAGCUAAUGCAAAACUAGACUAAAUUAUGAACGAAGGCUUAAAAAAUGAAUGAAGUGUUUGGCGGCCGAUCAUAUAUAUAAAAUAUAUUCUCGUUUGGCGGUAAUUUGUCAAAUUAUGCCGCCUAAACACUGUUGUCAUAAGAUAUAUUGGCAUGGCAUAUGUUCUUUAAUCCACAAUGGUCACUUUUGCAAGGUGUUUAAAGCAGUGAAUUAUAUUUUCGCCUCUAGUUAUUAGAUUUUCCACUUUGAUGCCAUGUACGUUGAUUAAUAUUUCAUAUUGAAUCGGGUCCUCAUUCGGUACCUAGACGAAGGGGAUUUAUUUAUAACUUUACAUAGUACUUUAAGAACGCAAUUGUAGAUUUGAAUGUAAGGGUGUCACGCUCGAACUUUCAGUUUAGGCCUCACCUGAUCUCAUAGGCGGGGAGGCUGGUAUUCUGUAUACAUUUAUAUUUUAUGUAAGGGUGUCACGCUCGAACUUUCAGUUUAGGCCUCACCUGAUCUCAUAGGCGGGGAGGCUGGUAUUCUGUAUACAUUUAUAUUUUUCGUGAAAUUUAGGCCUCACCCAAGUUCUCAUGCGGGAAGGCUGGUAUAUAUAUAUAUAUGUAUAUUAUAUGAUAUAAGUAUGACAUCUGUAAUCCACCGAUUUGCCGGUAGCUCAUAAAUGUAGUUCAUAGCUGUGCUGGUAUUCCUGUCCGGCUAGCAGAGAACCAGUGGGAAAGCAGCCGCGAAAUUUAACGUUGAAUUUUCUGGGAGGGGGGCCUUCUAGCCGGGGGUUUAACCCCCCUUCGGGGAGCUAAUUCGAGGCUAUCGGUUGGUUUCAGAUAUACAUGAAUGUAAGUCUCUAAUCAGAGGUAUUCAUAUCUAUGUUUUAUACUUAUGUGAUUGUGACACCAAUUUCGGGAAGCGUUCAUCUCUAUUGAAUAAAGCCACGACAUAAUCGCAUAUUAUUUUGUUUUGUCAUUUUGUUUGCCGAGAAUAAUGUAUUUUAAAGACGACUCGGCGAUUUAAAAUGAUUUAUUAGUCGGUGAACAAUGCCAGGUCAUGAAGGUAUUUGUAAUUUGGAAUGGCGCGGUUGACGAGGUGAUACGUCACAAUGGCGCGCCAGCCUGUUUGGUUUAUGCCCACAAUGACAAUAAUUUGUACUGGGCGCAAGGAGCGCGCAUGUUUUGGCGCGCGCGCCUAGGUGUGAAGGCGCGAAAAAUCCUUCAUUUUAGUCUUGGCUUUCAACGGAGAUGAACGUCCAAAAUAUUCGCUUGUAAUUUUCCCACCUCCUCCCCAACAACCACCCAUGUAAACGGUACGUUUGGGUCAAACGAUGUUGGAAUAUUGUUUAAACACAUGCGUUGGAGAAGGUCGAGAAUGAAGAUACGCUAUACGUAUCAUUCAGAGUUGAUUUGUGUUUUAUUGGAAUGUACAGCUCGUUCAGGAUGGAAUAACGGGAUGUAGAACUGUCGAUAAUGGACAUUUGAAUUAGUUUACUUACAUGAAUAUAAUAUUGAUUUAUAUAACGAAACACGAAUUCAAAUCCGGAGGCAGUUUGCCUGGUCGCACACCAAAACAAUACCAAGAUCGUCGUGCAUUUAGAAAUGUGGGCCGUAAGGGAAUUUUAUCCUUCUGAUCUAUUUUGGACUGUGGUCAGGUGGGUUUUCGCCCUUACCCGUUUUUGUGGCUGGGUGUUCGUUAUAUAUUGGUAAUUCACAUGAAUUGUAUUGUCAUAUUAUUGUCAUGGCAUAUGUUCUUUAAUCCACAAUGGUCACUUUUGCAAGGUGUUUAAAGCAGUGAAUUAUAUUUUCGCCUCUAGUUAUUAGAUUUUCCACUUUGAUGCCAUGUACGUUGAUUAAUAUUUCAUAUUGAAUCGGGUCCUCAUUCGGUACCUAGACGAAGGGGAUUUAUUUAUAACUUUACAUAGUACUUUAAGAACGCAAUUGUAGAUUUGAAUGUAAGGGUGUCACGCUCGAACUUUCAGUUUAGGCCUCACCUGAUCUCAUAGGCGGGGAGGCUGGUAUUCUGUAUACAUUUAUAUUUUAUGUAAGGGUGUCACGCUCGAACUUUCAGUUUAGGCCUCACCUGAUCUCAUAGGCGGGGAGGCUGGUAUUCUGUAUACAUUUAUAUUUUUCGUGAAAUUUAGGCCUCACCCAAGUUCUCAUGCGGGAAGGCUGGUAUAUAUAUAUAUAUGUAUAUUAUAUGAUAUAAGUAUGACAUCUGUAAUCCACCGAUUUGCCGGUAGCUCAUAAAUGUAGUUCAUAGCUGUGCUGGUAUUCCUGUCCGGCUAGCAGAGAACCAGUGGGAAAGCAGCCGCGAAAUUUAACGUUGAAUUUUCUGGGAGGGGGGCCUUCUAGCCGGGGGUUUAACCCCCCUUCGGGGAGCUAAUUCGAGGCUAUCGGUUGGUUUCAGAUAUACAUGAAUGUAAGUCUCUAAUCAGAGGUAUUCAUAUCUAUGUUUUAUACUUAUGUGAUUGUGACACCAAUUUCGGGAAGCGUUCAUCUCUAUUGAAUAAAGCCACGACAUAAUCGCA